AUGCCUGGGUCCCAUUCUGGGACUCCUGGGUCCCUCCUGGGUGCCUUGGUCCCCAUCCCUGGGUGCUUGGGUCCCCCUUCUAGGGGUGUGUGUGUCCUCCCCAUGACACCUGGGUCCCCGGAGAGGGUCCCCAUCCCUGGGUGCCUGGGUCCCCACCCGAAUUCCUGGGUCCCAUCCCCAGCCUCCUGGGGGAGGGAGGCUCCUCUUAUCUCCAUGAUGGGGCUGGGAAGGGCUCCCCACCCAAAUACCUGGGUCCCCAGGGAGGUCCCCAUCCCUGGGUGCCUGGGUCCCUCUUCUAGGGGUGUGUGUGUCCUCCCCAUGACACCUGGGUCCCCGGAGAGGGUCCCCAUCCCUGGGUGCCUGGGUCCCCACCCGAAUUCCUGGGUCCCAUCCGAGAGGGUAAAUCAGGGCCUGAGGGGUAAAUCAGGGCCCAAGGGGUUAAAUCAGGGCCCUGGGGAGGUAAUUGUGGGCUCCAAGGGGGUGGCAGCACCUUUCUGCCCGGGUCCCUCCUGUCACCCCGGCCCACGUGGGUGUGGGAGCGGCAGUGACGUGGGUGACGUGGGUGCCCCCCGCCGUGGGCACCCUUCCCGAGGGGCGCAGGGAGGAUGUCCUCUCCACAACCACUGUCCCCGGCGGUGGCCUCGGCCACGGUGGCCUCCAGGCGGGCGCUGGCGGUGCUGGCAGGGCUGGCAGAGGCUCUGGGGACACCGAGGGCGGUGGCCUCAGUGCUGGCGGAGGCCAAGGCAGUGCUGGCGGAGGUGGAGGCGGCGCUGGCAGGGCUGGAAGCGGCGCUGGUGGCAGCGAUGGCGUCAGCGGCGACGGCGACGCCGGAGCUCAGUGCCGAGGGUCUUUACCGGGCGCUGGCGGCGGUCGCUGAGGGCAGCGCCGCCGAACUGGAGCGGGAGCUGAGGCGGAACCACCGGCACUGCUGGGGGCUGCGGCUGGGCCGGACCGUCGCCCUGGUGCUGAUCCUCCUCUGUGCCCCUCUGCGUGAGUACGGACCAGUAUAGACCGGAAUGGACCAGUUCAGACCAGUAGGGAGCCCUACGAAUCUGCUUGGACCAGUAAUACCAGUUAAGAACCCUACAGACCAGUACACACCAGUAGGGACCCCUACAGGCCAGUAGAGACUUUCCCCUGCCCAGACCAGUAGGGACCAGUUCCAACCAGUAGGGAGCCCUACGAAUCUGCUUGGACCAGUAAUACCAGUAGAGAACCCUACAGACCAGUACACACCAGUAGGGAGCCCUACAGACCAGUACACACCAGUAGGGACCUCUACGGGCCAGUAGAGACUUUCCCCUGCCCAGACCAGUAGGGACCAGUUCCAACCAGUAGGGAGCUCUACGCCUCAGCUUGGACCAGUAAUACCAGUAGAGAACCCUACAGGCCAGUACACACCAGUAGGGACCUCUACGGGCCAGUAGAGACUUUCCCCUGCCCCGACCAGUAGGGACCAGUUCCAACCACUAGGGAGCUCUACGCCUCAGCUUGGACCAGUAAUACCAGUAGAGAACCCUACAGGCCAGUACACACCAGUAGGGACCUCUACGGGCCAGUAGAGACUUUCCCCUGCCCCGACCAGUAGGGACCAGUUCCAACCAGUAGGGAGGCCAAUGGCUCAACUUGGACCAGUAAUGCUGGUAGAGAUCCCCACAGACCAGUAAUACCAGCAAGGAGCCCUGCAGACCAGUAUGGACCAGUACAGACCAGUAGACAGCCCUAUGGAUCUGCUUGGAUCAGUGGUGCCAGCAGAGAACCCUACAGACCAGUAAGGACCAGUAUGGACCAGUAAGGAGCCCUACAGACCAGUACUGACCUUCAUGUGCCCUGACCAGUAUCAACAAGUUUAGGUCAGGAGGGACCACUGCAGAGCAGUAGAGACCAGUAUGCACCAGUAGAAAUUUCUACAUACCAGGAGAGGCUUUCUCUUGCCGUGACCAGUACAGACCAGAAUCGACCAGUUCAGACCAGUAGACAGCCCUAUGGAUCUGCUUGGAUCAGUGGUGCCAGCAGAGAACCCUACAGACCAGUAAGGACCAGUACGGACCAGUAAGGAGCUGUACAGGUGGGUAGAGACUUUCUCCUGCCCUGACCAGUAGGGACCAGUUCCGACCAGUAGGAAGCCCCGCAGAUCUCUUUGGGUCAGUAAUACCAGUAGAGGACCCUACAGACCAGUAGGAACCAGUAGGAAACCCUACAGACCAGUAGCUACUGUGCCCUGCUCUGACCAGUAUAGGCCAGUCUGGACCUAUAUGGGCUGAUCAGGAGCUCUACAGACCAGUUCAGACCAGUAUAUACCAGUAAGGACCAGUAGGAGCCACUGUAGACCAGUAGGGAGCUGUAAAGACCGGUGGGAUGUCCUACAAACCAGUAUAGACCAGUAUAGACCUUCACCUGCCUCAACUGCUAUGGACAGGGACACACUGGGAGGGGAUGGGGGACACUGGGAUGGGACUGGGGACACUGGGAGGGAACUGGGGACACUGGGAGGGGAUGGGGACACUGGGACAAGACUGGGGACACUGGGAGGGGACUGGGGACACUGGGAGGGGAUGGGGACACUGGGACAAGACUGGGGACACUGGGAGGGGACUUUAGGAAGGGAGAGGGGACACCAGGAGGAGAUGGGGACACUGGGAGGGGACAAGGAUCCCAGGGGACACUGGGAGGAGAUGGGGGACACCGGGACAAGACUGGGGGCACUGGGAGGGGACAGAGGACACUGGGAUGGGCGUCACCAGGAGGGGACAGGGGACAUCAGGAGAGGACUGGGGACACCGUGAUGGGACUGGGGACACUGGGAUGGGGGACACCAGGAAGGGACAGGAGACGUUGGGAGAGGACUGGGGACACUGGGAGGGAACUGGGGGACACUGGGAUGGUGGUCACCUGGAGGGGACUGGGGACACUGGGAGGGAACUGGGGACACUGGGAUGGGGGACACCAGGAGGAGACCCUGGGAGAGGACACCAGGAAGGGCUGGGGACACUGGGACAAGAGUGGAGACAUUGGGAGGGGACAGGGGACAUUGGACACACUGGGAUGGUGGUCACCUGGAGGGAACUGGGGACACUGGGAUGGGACUGGGGACACUGGGAGGGGACAAGGACACCGGGUGACGUCCCCGUCCCCUCCGUGUCCCCGCAGUGUCCCUGGACGUGGUGCGGGAGGCGUUGGGGGUGACCCAGGAGAGCCACCUCGUCCCCUCCUUGGCCACCGUCGUCCUCUUCUGCCAGGUGGCCCUGUGGGGCGCGGGGACAUCCAAGCGUCACUUGGCCACCGCCGCCCGUCACCAGCGUCACCAAGCCCUGCGCUACCACCACCUGGCCCGCGACGCCGCCGCCGCCACCGCUGCCACCACCGAGGCCACCGAGGCCAUCGCCGCUGCCAACGUCACCUUGGGGACGCUGGAGGAGGUGGCCGGUCACCUGAGGAACCUGGUGGACGCUGUCACCCAGGACCUGGAGAUGGGGCAGGGCUUCCCUGCCAGCGCCCGGGCCUUGGGGGACGCCGUGGUGGCCUUGGGGACAGCCAUGGGGGACAAGGAGGGGACGGAGAGGUUGGCCCGAGCGCUGGAGGUUCUGCCGGAGGACGAGUAGGGACGAGGAUGGGGGACACCAGGAGGGUCCUGCUUGUCCUGGGGACACACUGAUGUCCCCUGUCCCGUCUGGGGACACCAGUAGGGUCCUCCUCAUCCUGGAGCCACCAGGAUGUCCCUUCUCCAUCCUGGGGACACUGGGGUGCCCCCUGUCCCAUCUGGGGACACCAGUAGGGUCCUCCUCAUCCUGGAGCCACCAGGAUGUCCCUUCUCCAUCCUGGGGACACUGGGGUGCCCCCUGUCCCAUCUGGGGACACCAGUAGGGUCCUCCUCAUCCUGGAGCCACCAGGAUGUCCCUUCUCCAUCCUGGGGACACUGGGGUGCCCCCUGUCCCAUCUGGGGACACCAGUAGGGUCCUCCUCAUCCUGGAGCCACCAGGAUGUCCCUUCUCAGUCCUGGGGACACUGGGAUGUCCCCUGUCCUGCCUGAGGACACCUGGAUGUCCCUCGUCCUGGGGAGACCAGGGGGACACCAGGAUGUCCCCUGUCCCACCUGGGGGUGUUGAGGAUGUCCCCUUUGUGGUCCAAGGACACCAGGGACGGGUUGGUGACACCGUUGCCCAUCUCCCCAAUAAACCUGAGGGACACGCUGAGCCCCCGACCUGU
rnacentral:lncRNA from 1 species